AUUGAACGCUGGCGGCAGGCCUAACACAUGCAAGUCGAACGAGUGGCGGACGGGUGAGUAAUGUCUGGAACACUGCCUGAUGGAGGGGGAUAACUACUGGAAACGGUAGCUAAUACCGCAUACCAUCAGAUGUGCCCAGAUGGGAUUAGCUAUUUGGUGGGGUAACGGCUCACCAAGACGACGAUCCCUAGACGUUCUGAGAGGAUGACCGGCCACACUGGACCUGAGACACGGCCCAGAUUCCUACGGGAGGCAGCAGUGGUGAAUUGUGCAAAUUGGGCGCAAGCCUGAUGCAGCAAUGCCGCGGGUAUGAAGAAGGCCUUCGGGUUGUAAAGUACUUUCAGCGGGGAGGCGUUACCCGCAGAAGAAGCACCGGCUAACUCCGUGCCAGCAGCCGCGGUAAUAC
rnacentral:rRNA from 1 species